UACGUAGGGUGCAAGCGUUGUCCGGAAUUAUUGGGCGUAAAGAGCUCGUAGGCGGUUUGUCGCGUCUGCUGUGAAAACGCGGGGCUCAACCCCGCGCCUGCAGUGGGUACGGGCAGACUAGAGUGCAGUAGGGGAGACUGGAAUUCCCGGUGUAGCGGUGAAAUGCGCAGAUAUCGGGGAAGAACACCCGUGGCGAAGGCGGCUCUCUGGGACGGUACUGACGCUGAGACGGCGAAAAGCGUGGGGAGCGAACAGG
rnacentral:rRNA from 1 species